rnacentral:rRNA from 1 species
GCCUAAUACAUGCAAGUAGAACGCUGAAGGAGGAGCUUGCUUCUCUGGAUGAGUUGCGAACGGGUGAGUAACGCGUAGGUAACCUGCCUGGUAGCGGGGGAUAACUAUUGGAAACGAUAGCUAAUACCGCAUAAGAGUAGAUGUCGCAUGACAUUUGCUUAAAAGGUGCAAUUGCAUCACUACCAGAUGGACCUGCGUUGUAUUAGCUAGUUGGUGAGGUAACGGCUCACCAAGGCAACGAUACAUAGCCGACCUGAGAGGGUGAUCGGCCACACUGGGACUGAGACACGGCCCAGACUCCUACGGGAGGCAGCAGUAGGGAAUCUUCGGCAAUGGACGGAAGUCUGACCGAGCAACGCCGCGUGAGUGAAGAAGGUUUUCGGAUCGUAAAGCUCUGUUGACGGGGACGAACGUGCGGAGUGCGAAUAGCGCUUUGUAAUGACGGUACCUGUCGAGGAAGCCACGGCUAACUACGUGCCAGCAGCCGCGGUAAUACGUAGGGUGCGAGCGUUAAUCGGAAUUACUGGGCGUAAAGCGGGCGCAGACGGUUACUUAAGCAGGAUGUGAAAUCCCCGGGCUCAACCUGGGAACUGCGUUCUGAACUGGGUGACUAGAGUGUGUCAGAGGGAGGUAGAAUUCCACGUGUAGCGGUGAAAUGCGUAGAUAUAUGGAGGAAUACCGAUGGCGAAGGCAGCCUCCUGGGA